AGAAACAAAGCUGUUCAUCCUACGCCUCAAUGCACGAGGUCGACGGAAGCGAGUCGAAUGUCGUUUGUGAGGCUCGCAUGUGCGGCUGUUCCUGCUCCACCAGGUUUCGGAAACUAUUACUCAGGUUUCUCCUCCAGAAGUUUUUUGCUCGCAGGCAGGGUGAAGGGAAGUGAGCAAGUAUGGCAAAGUUCGCAGAUGUUGCUCACAGAAGUGUGACAGCGGGUUUAGGACUCGCCACUCUCUGGGUUGGGGGCAACCUCAUUUUCAAUAUUACUCGUGGCAUUUCAUGGCAUUAUUCGCAAGAUAAGCCUAUCGGAGACACGGAAGCUUCUCCGAAAAAAUGAAUUGAAACUUGCGAUGACACCAAUGUGGAAUCAUAUCGUGCAAAGCAGCUGAUCUCUGAUGCAUUUCCGGAUGUCUUACUCUUAGUGUUGAGAACUUAGGAAGCCUUUUGCUGCUCUAUACAAAGGAGAUUAAUCGUUGUAUGUGGGAGGGUCAGGACAAGUGAUGUGACAAGUAUAGAGCUCAGGACUUUAGUAUUGUGGAUAUGGGCAGCAUUAUUGGUUGACAUCAUGUUACUGUCUUCGAUUGACGUCAUCUGCAAUCGAUCAUGUAAUACUCUCCUUUGCUUGUGUCUCGGAUCUCUUAUGAAAACAGGUUCGUGAGGGCACAUGUGGUUCUAAGUCUUCAUGUAUACCGACCACUGAUUUUAAUAAAUGCAUGAGGCUUUGUCAAGUUGAAACCUA